rnacentral:rRNA from 1 species
AGUGAACGCUGGCGGUAGGCCUAACACAUGCAAGUCGAACGGCAGCACAGUAAGAGCUUGCUCUUACGGGUGGCGAGUGGCGGACGGGUGAGGAAUACAUCGGAAUCUACUCUUUCGUGGGGGAUAACGUAGGGAAACUUACGCUAAUACCGCAUACGACCUACGGGUGAAAGCAGGGGAUCUUCGGACCUUGCGCGAUUGAAUGAGCCGAUGUCGGAUUAGCUAGUUGGCCGGGUAAAGGCCCACCAAGGCGACGAUCCGUAGCUGGUCUGAGAGGAUGAUCAGCCACACUGGAACUGAGACACGGUCCAGACUCCUACGGGAGGCAGCAGUGGGGAAUAUUGGACAAAGGGCGCAAGCCUGAUCCAGACAUACCGCGUGGGUGAAGAAGGCCUUCGGGUUGUAAAGCCCUUUUGUUGGGAAAGAAAAGCAGCAGGUUAAUACCCCGCUGUUCUGACGGUACCCAAAGAAUAAGCACCGGCUAACUUCGUG